GCCUUCGCGCGGUGGUCCCACCUGACCCCAUGCCGAACUCAGAAGUGAAACGCCGUAGCGCCGAUGGUAGUGUGGGGUCUCCCCAUGCGAGAGUAGGGAACUGCCAGGC
rnacentral:rRNA from 1 species